rnacentral:rRNA from 1 species
UACGGAGGAUCCAAGCGUUAUCCGGAAUCAUUGGGUUUAAAGGGUCCGUAGGCGGGCCUGUAAGUCAGUGGUGAAAUCUUUCGGCUCAACCGGAAAAUUGCCAUUGAUACUGCAGGCCUUGAAUUAUUGGGAAGUAACUAGAAUAUGUAGUGUAGCGGUGAAAUGCUUAGAUAUUACAUGGAAUACCGAUUGCGAAGGCAGGUUACUAUCAAUACAUUGACGCUGAUGGACGAAAGCGUGGGGAGCGAACAGG